rnacentral:rRNA from 1 species
AGAGUUUGAUCCUGGCUCAGGAUGAACGCUGGCGGCGUGCCUAACACAUGCAAGUCGAGCGGAGAUAUUAUAGCACUUGUGCUGUAAUAUUUUAGCGGCGGACGGGUGAGUAACGCGUGGGUAACCUGCCCUAUACACUGGGAUAACAUCGAGAAAUCGGUGCUAAUACCGGAUAAGCUAACAUUAAGGCAUCUUAGAGUUAGAAAAACUGAGGUGGUAUAGGAGGGGCCCGCGUCUGAUUAGCUAGUUGGUGUGGUAAAAGCAUACCAAGGCGACGAUCAGUAGCCGACCUGAGAGGGUGAUCGGCCACAUUGGAACUGAGACACGGUCCAAACUCCUACGGGAGGCAGCAGUGGGGAAUAUUGCACAAUGGGGGGAACCCUGAUGCAGCAACGCCGCGUGAAGGAAGAAGUAUUUCGGUAUGUAAACUUCUAUCGACAGGGAAGAAAAAAAUGACGGUACCUGAAUAAGAAGCACCGGCUAAAUACGUGCCAGCAGCCGCGGUAAUACGUAUGGUGCAAGCGUUAUCCGGAUUUACUGGGUGUAAAGGGUGAGUAGGCGGUUAGAUAAGUCAUAUGUGAAAUUCUGGGGCUCAACUCCAGCGCUGCAUAAGAAACUAUUUAACUAGAGUACAGGAGAGGUAAGCGGAAUUCCUAGUGUAGCGGUGAAAUGCGUAGAUAUUAGGAAGAACACCGGUGGCGAAGGCGGCUUACUGGACUGAAACUGACGCUGAGUCACGAAAGCGUGGGGAGCGAACAGGAUUAGAUACCCUGGUAGUCCACGCUGUAAACGAUGAGUGCUAGGUGUUGGGAAGAAAUUCUCGGUGCCGCAGCAAACGCAAUAAGCACUCCACCUGGGGAGUACGACCGCAAGGUUGAAACUCAAAGGAAUUGACGGGGACCCGCACAAGCGGUGGAGCAUGUGGUUUAAUUCGAAGCAACGCGAAGAACCUUACCUAAACUUGACAUACCAUUGACAGGCUACGUAAAGUAGCUUUCCUUCGGGACAAUGGAUACAGUGGUGCAUGCUGUCGUCAGCUCGUGUCGUGAGAUGUUGGGUUAAGUCCCGCAACGGAGCGCAACCCCUAUUUCUUAGUAGCCAGCACUUUGGGUGGGCACUCUAAGGAGACUGCCGUGGAUAACACGGAGGAAGGUGGGGAUGACGUCAAAUCAUCAUGCCCCUUAUGUUUAGGGCUACACACGUGCUACAAUGGCUAUAACAAAGUGAAGCGAGACAGUGAUGUGGAGCAAAGCACAUAAAAGUAGUCCCAGUUCGGAUUGUAGUCUGCAACUCGACUACAUGAAGUUGGAAUCGCUAGUAAUCGCGAAUCAGAAUGUCGCGGUGAAUACGUUCCCGGGUCUUGUACACACCGCCCGUCACACCAUGGGAGUUGGAAGCGCCCGAAGCCUGUGACCUAACCUUAGGGGAGGAGCAGUCGGAGGUGAAGCCAGCGACUGGGGUGAAGUCGUAACAAGGUAGCCGUAUCGGAAGGUGCGGCUGGAUCACCUCCUUUCU